GUAUUUCUUCAGGGCGUUCAGGUGGACUUUUAUUCGGGUGAGGAUCAGCUCACGUUGCUGGUCAUCGCAGGUCUCCAGCACUUUCUGUACAACGUAGUUUCCGAACUGAUCUUUCAUCAUCGCCUGAAGGGGCUCAUUCUCAUCAGUGGUACCGAGCAUCUCGUUCACUAAAUUUUGCCGUUCCUCAAGACCACAAAAAGUCAAGCACUUCUCAACAACAUUUGAAGCAAAC
rnacentral:misc_RNA from 1 species